AACGAACGCUGGCGGGUGCUUACACAUGCAAGUCGGAUGCGAACGGGCUUCGGGCGUGAGUAGCAUGGCAGACGGGUGAGGAGCGCGUAUCUGACUGGACUCAGGCUGGGGGAUAGUCCCUCGAAAGGGGGUUGAAUACCGCAUGUGCUCGGUGCUGUGAGGGCAUCGAGGAAAGUUGGCCUCUGCGGGCACGCUGAUGGCCUGAGACAGGGAUGCGUCCUAUUAGCUAGCUGGUGGGGUAAGGGCCUACCAGGGCGACGAUGGGUAGCUGGUCUGAGAGGAUGAUCAGCCACACUGGGACUGCGACACGGCCCAGACUCCUACGGGAGGCAGCAGUGGGGAAUUUUGCGCAAUGGGCGCAAGCCUGACGCAGCAACGCCGCGUGCAUGACGACGCCUUUCGAGGUGUAAAGUGCUGUCGACCGGGACGAAGGGGCGAGGGUGAACAGCUUUCGCGCAUGACGGUACCGGUGGAGGAAGCCCCGGCUAACUCCGUGCCAGCAGCCGCGGUAAGACGGAGGGGGCGAGCGUUGUUCGGAAUUACUGGGCGUAAAGCGCGCGUAGGCGGUGCAGCAAGUGGUGCGUGAAAGCCCUCGGCUUAACCGGGGACGGGCGUGCCAAACUGUUGGACUGGAGUGCCGGAGGGGGAGGCGGAAUUCCUGGUGGAGCGGUGAAAUGCGUAGAGAUCAGGAAGAACGUCGGUGGCGAAGGCGGCCUCCUGGACGGACACUGACGCUGAGGUGCGACAGCGUGGGGAGCGAACGGGAUUAGAUACCCCGGUAGUCCACGCCGUAAACGAUGGGUACUACGUGUGGGGCUUGU
rnacentral:rRNA from 1 species